CUGGCUCAGAACGAACGCUGGCGGCAGGCCUAACACAUGCAAGUCGAGCGAGGACUUCGGUUCUAGCGGCGGACGGGUGAGUAACGCGUGGGAAUGUGCCCUUCUCUACGGAAUAGCCCUGGGAAACUGGGAGUAAUACCGUAUACGCCCUAUUGGGGAAAGAUUUAUCGGAGAAGGAUCAGCCCGCGUUGGAUUAGGUAGUUGGUGGGGUAAUGGCCUACCAAGCCGACGAUCCAUAGCUGGUUUGAGAGGAUGAUCAGCCACACUGGGACUGAGACACGGCCCAGACUCCUACGGGAGGCAGCAGUGGGGAAUCUUAGACAAUGGGGGCAACCCUGAUCUAGCCAUGCCGCGUGAGUGAUGAAGGCCUUAGGGUUGUAAAGCUCUUCAGCUGGGAAGAUAAUGACGGUACCAGCAGAG
rnacentral:rRNA from 1 species